rnacentral:misc_RNA from 1 species
UCUCCGUUGGUGAACCAGCGGAGGGAUCAUUACUGAGUUUACGCUCUACAACCCUUUGUGAACAUACCUAUAACUGUUGCUUCGGCGGGUAGGGUCUCCGUGACCCUCCCGGCCUCCCGCCCCCGGGCGGGUCGGCGCCCGCCGGAGGAUAACCAAACUCUGAUUUAACGACGUUUCUUCUGAGUGGUACAAGCAAAUAAUCAAAACUUUUAACAACGGAUCUCUUGGUUCUGGCAUCGAUGAAGAACGCAGC